rnacentral:rRNA from 1 species
UUUCUAGAUCUUUCUGGAGGAGCUUGCUAUCAAACCGAUAACCCACGUUAAACCUUACCAACUUUUGAUCUUACAGUCUGUAUACCAUCGUCGUCAGUCUACUCCGCAAGGAAAGUACACAUAAUGGGCCUUCAAACCCACAACGUCAGAUCGAGGUGCAACUCAUAAGUUGGGGAUAAGUGAGCUACAAUAACUUAACAAACUAAAUACAAAUUUGAAUAAAUAAUUGAAUACUUUAUUUUGAAACAGGAUUCAGCAGUAAUGAUCACCAAAGAUACUGAUCAUGAAUACAAGCUCUAUAAUACGC